GUAAGAAAAAAGGGGAUAGCAUUAUCUAUUUUUUGUCCUUGUCGCUGUAACCUGUUUUUUACCUGACCACAAAACGUCAAAAUGACAGUCUGUGUGCAAACAUUUAACUGAUUCUGCGUUUUUACUCUAAAUAAAUACUUAUUAGUGUUUCUUAGCUUCCAAGUACAUUUUUUUUGGACAAAAUCAAUAGCGUAAUAAUAACAAUGCCAGUAUGUAGUGUUUUAGCGUGUGAAAACAGAACAUAUCGAAGCAGUCCGGGUACAUCCUAUCACAGGUUUCCACUUCAAGACUCAAGAACGUGAACGCACUGAUUGGGUUAAAGCAUGUGGAAGAACAAACUGGGAACCGCCUAAAAGUUCUGUAAUAUGCUCUAAGCAUUUUGAUGACAACUUCUUUAUUAAACAUGGAGAUAGAACAAGUCCCAACCAAGUUCUGUCAUUUGGAAAAUAUUUCUGUACCAAGUUGUUCACCAUCCUCAAUGCAACAUAGUGAAGUUGCCGGCAUCCCUGCCAACUAUAUUUAGAAGCAGGAAAAUCCAACUAAGCGAGCCAAAAGAUCAUGAUUACACAGAUACGCCUCGGAAGAAAAAGUUAAAGCUUAUGCUUGAAAGAAAAAGGGUUUUGUCAGAAACUCGAUUGAAAAAACUACGUGCUGCAAGACAAGCGAACCGGCGUUUAGUAAAAAAAAAAUGCUGAACUGUCUGACGUUAUUGCUGAACUGCGGCUAAACUUUAAAUUUUGAAAAACAGAUCAACUCUUCUCUUUCAUUUUUAAGAGAUGAUGCGUUAAUAGAAGAAGCUUUCGAAUCCGAGGAACUUGAUUUUUCAGUAGACCAUGACUAUCUGCCAGAUCCAUCCCGUUUAACAGAAUAUACAAAACAUGUAGUGGUAUAUAUUGCGGGCUUUGUUGUUACCAAAGUGUCCAAAAUAGUAAAGUGUCACGAUUGCUUAAGUAGCAUAGUGGAGAUGUCAAAUUUAAACUUGUUAUUAAUUUCCAAAAAAGACAAAGGCGGUUUGCGAUAUCCUUCUGCUGAUGUAAUAAAUUUAUGUGAAAUUUCUGAAAGAAUUUUUAGACAAAAUGUCAUACGGUUAAGUUUAAAAAUACUGUCAACAAAAAAAUAUUUUAAUGCUUUUAAUCAGGGAAUGUAUACAACUAAGCCCAAUUAAAGAGUUUUUUAAAUUUCACGGCAACCGGUUUGACCAUUCUCCUUUAGAAAGCCAUGAAAUGCUUUUGAUGAAAGCCAUAAUUAUGAAUUAUUUAAAAGUUCGGUUUCAUCAUUACGCCAAAAACUUAUCAGAGCCUGAUGUAAAAGUGCGAAAUAUGUACAACAAAUUGACCCUGUUACGUAAUCAAUGAAUAUUUUCAGUUUA